UACAGAGGGGGCAAGCGUUGUUCGGAAUUACUGGGCGUAAAGGGCGCGUAGGCGGCCUUCUAAGUCGAACGUGAAAUCCCCGGGCUCAACCCGGGAACUGCGUCCGAUACUGGGAGGCUUGAAUCCGGGAGAGGGAUGCGGAAUUCCAGGUGUAGCAGUGAAAUGCGUAGAUAUCAAGUGGAACACCAGUGGCGAAGGCGAGUCCCUGGACAAUACCUGACACUGAGGCACGAAAGCUAGGGGAGCAAACAGG
rnacentral:rRNA from 1 species